rnacentral:tRNA from 1 species
GGCGGCGUAGCCAAGUGGUAAGGCGGCGGUCUGCAAAACCGCUAUUCUCCGGUUCAAGUCCGGACGCCGCCU